rnacentral:rRNA from 1 species
GACGAUGAUGUGCGAAGCGUGGGGAUCAAACAGGAUUAGAUACCUGGUAGUCCACGCUGUAAACGAUGAGUGCUAAGUGUUAGGGGGGUGUCCGCCCCUUAGUGCUGCAGCUAACGCAUUAAGCACUCCGCCUGGGGAGUACGACCGCAAGGUUGAAACUCAAUGGAAUUGACGGGGACCCGCACAAGCGGUGGAGCAUGUGGUUUAAUUCGAAGCAACGCGAAGGGCCUUACCAAAUCUUGACAUCCUUUGACCGCUCUAGAGAUAGAGUCUUCCCCUUCGGGGGACAAAGUGACAGGUGGUGCAUGGUUGUCGUCAGCUCGUGUCGUGAGAUGUUGGGUUAAGUCCCGCAACGAGCGCAACCCUUAAGCUUAGUUGCCAUCAUUAAGUUGGGCACUCUAAGUUGACUGCCGGUGACAAACCGGAGGAAGGUGGGGAUGACGUCAAAUCAUCAUGCCCCUUAUGAUUUGGGCUACACACGUGCUACAAUGGACAAUACAAAGGGCAGCUAAACCGCGUGGUCAAGCAAAUCCCAUAAAGUUGUUCUCAGUUCGGAUUGUAGUCUGCAACUCGACUACAUGAAGCGGAAUCGCUAGUAAUCGUAGAUCAGCAUGCUACGGUGAAUACGUUCCCGGGUCUUGUACACACCGCCCGUCACACCACGAGAGUUUGUAACACC